GACGAACGCUGGCGGCGUGCUUCAUACAUGCAAGUCGAACGAGAAGCUGACUUCGGUCAGUGGAAAGUGGCGGACGGGUGCGUAAUAUGUAGGAAAUCUGCCUUUAGGAGGGGGACAACAGAGGGAAACUUCUGCUAAUACCCCAUAUGAGCGUAGCUGAAAUGCUAUUCUUGAAAACUCCGGUGCCUAAAGAUGAGCCUGCAUCUGAUUAGCUAGUUGGUAGUGUACUGGACUACCAAGGCGACGAUCAGUAGCUGGGUAGAGAGGAUGAUCAGCCACAAUGGGACGGAGACACGGCCAAGACUCCUACGGGAGGGAGCAGUAGGCAAUUUUGCGCAAUGGGCGAAAGCCUGACGCAGCAACGGCGCGUGAACGAUUAAGCCCUUCGGGGUGUAAAGUUCUGUGAGUGGGGACGAAACUUGACGGUACCCACAGAGGAAGCACCGGCUAACUCCGUG
rnacentral:rRNA from 1 species